UGGAUAGUCAAUUACAAAGCGAUUUGAAGGCGCGUCUAGUUCAAUAUUACCGUUAUGGAUUGUAUAGUUUUUGCAAACUGAUAAUGUGAUCAGCAUAGCCUGACAAUAAGUGCUCAAAUAUGUACAGUUGUGUACUUGUGCUUAAACUCUCUUUAUAUUGCUCAGAAAAAGGAUACGUAAAUAGGCGCAGCAGAUAUUGUGCGUGGACGGAUCAAUAUCUUCGGUUCGGAUAUCUUCGUUUUGAAAGAUGACCGACUUAAAAAAUCGAAACGAUUGGUAUUUCUUGAUGUAAAAUUGCACAUAUCUGAAAUAAUAAAUGAUACGAUAUUAUAUA